CAGGCUCAUCUACUCCACUUUUUAAACUGACUGUGUAAAAAGGCAUCCAGAGUUAUCAUCUGUAUCUGUUUCCUUGCUGAUGCCUCUCACAGGGAUGAGACUGCUCUUUCAGACAGCUGUAUGACUGCAGCCUCAGACAGGGAGAGGAGAGAAGGCUGCAGAAGCCAUCCUCUUUCCUUCAGCUGACAGUGAAAAGCAGAUUUCUUGAUUGUAUGCAAAGGAUAUUGGAAAUGAUAAACUACAGUGGAAUUAUUCAAGAUGUGGGGUAAUCUUUAAGCAGAAAAUACACUGGCAGGUUGGUUUUGCUUUUUUUUUUUGAAAGCCUAGUUCAAAGAGUAUGCAGGCAUAUAAU
rnacentral:lncRNA from 1 species